UGAUAAAAUUGAAGUAAAAUAAGAUAAUAAUAAUAAUAAUAAUAAUAUGGUAAUAAAAUAAAAAAAAAUGCAAUCCGGACGAAAUUGGGUGUUGACAGUGACUUAUUUGAUUGAUGUUUUCGUGAAAGAAUGGUAGUUUUCUAUUCUAGUGAACUCUUUGAUUUAGUUUCAUGGUUUGUAAUUUUUAAUUCUAUUGAUUUCUCUCAUUUUGCAACUAAUAAUCUAAUCACGAUUAAGCAUGGGUUACGGUGAGAAAUUUUGUCACUAAAACCCUAAUGACGACUAAGUAUGGGUUUAUGGUUAGAAAUGCAAUGUGUGUCGCUCAUACUCUACACCUAGAACUGAAAUUUUGUCUGUGUUGUGAUUGCAUCCGGAGCUAGCAUGGAGGAAACCUUGACUGUUACUGAAAUAUUGGCUAAAGGUUGUCUGAAUCGAGGAACUACAUUUCGCACGAGAGGAAAACUAGGACUGCAUGGAAGGCUGGGAGGUUGGUUACAAAGUGGGAGAAGAUUACUGGAAUUCCAGAAACUAGCUCAGUGUGUAUCAGGCCAACCCCACGCACUCGGACUAUACCUAUGCUGGGACCUAGGCCAAGGAGCCAGUUGAUGGAAACCUUGUUGUGAACAUCAUAUUCAUACUUUUUGAGUGUGCCAUAGUGCCAAACAUACAUGAAAGUCAGAAGUAUUAGAGCCAACGCUACAGGCACCCAUGCUCCUUGCUGUAACUUGAUAAGAGAAGUAGAGAAGAAGAGAGCCUCAAUGGUUCCAAAUAUGAAAACAAAUCCGAGUGCAAGGAGGACAUUUUGGUGCCAGCAUAGCACAAUAACCAGUGACAUCAAACAGGUGGUCACCAACAUCACUGUGAUAACUGCCAAACCUGUUGUGCAAAGUAAAGUGUGUCAUAUUCUUGUAAAAAAAA